GACGAACGCUGGCGGCGUGCUUAACACAUGCAAGUCGAACGGAAAGGCCCUGCUUUUGUGGGGUGCUCGAGUGGCGAACGGGUGAGUAACACGUGAGUAACCUGCCCUUGACUUUGGGAUAACUUCAGGAAACUGGGGCUAAUACCGGAUAGGAGCUCCUGCUGCAUGGUGGGGGUUGGAAAGUUUCGGCGGUUGGGGAUGGACUCGCGGCUUAUCAGCUUGUUGGUGGGGUAGUGGCUUACCAAGGCUUUGACGGGUAGCCGGCCUGAGAGGGUGACCGGCCACAUUGGGACUGAGAUACGCCCCAGACUCCUACGGGAGGCAGCAGUGGGGAAUAUUGCACAAUGGGCGGAAGCCUGAUGCAGCAACGCCGCGUGCGGGAUGACGGCCUUCGGGUUGUAAACCACUUUCGCCUGUGACGAAGCGUGAGUGACGGUAAUGGGUAAAGAAGCACCGGCUAACUACGUG
rnacentral:rRNA from 1 species